CCUACGGGAGGCAGCAGUGGGGAAUUUUGGACAAUGGGCGCAAGCCUGAUCCAGCCAUGCCGCGUGCGGGAAGAAGGCCUUCGGGUUGUAAACCGCUUUUGUCAGGGAAGAAAUCCUUUGGGUUAAUACCUCGGAGGGAUGACGGUACCUGAAGAAUAAGCACCGGCUAACUACGUGCCAGCAGCCGCGGUAAUACGUAGGGUGCGAGCGUUAAUCGGAAUUACUGGGCGUAAAGCGUGCGCAGGCGGUUAUGCAAGACAGAUGUGAAAUCCCCGGGCUCAACCUGGGAACUGCAUUUGUGACUGCAUAGCUAGAGUACGGUAGAGGGGGAUGGAAUUCCGCGUGUAGCAGUGAAAUGCGUAGAUAUGCGGAGGAACACCGAUGGCGAAGGCAAUCCCCUGGACCUGUACUGACGCUCAUGCACGAAAGCGUGGGGAGCAAACAGGAUUAGAUACCCUGGUAGUCCACGCCCUAAACGAUGUCAACUGGUUGUUGGACGGCUUGCUGUUCAGUAACGAAGCUAACGCGUGAAGUUGACCGCCUGGGGAGUACGGCCGCAAGGUUGAAACUCGAAAUGAAUUGACGG
rnacentral:rRNA from 1 species